UCUGCUCUUUCUGUCACUAACUCGUGAUCACCCUUAUCCUUUCCUCUUUCAAUACAGUGGUCAAAAUGCAGGCUCACAUUUUUCUUCGGUUUGGAUUCCCAGGAAGCUAGUGAUGCCCGUUCUUCUAGAGAUGGUAGCUUGUGCAGAGCAGCUGAGACCAGCCGAGCAGGACAAGCCGGAACGUGGGCAGCCGCUUUUCCCAGAUGGUUACAAUACAUUCACAGCUUCUGCCUGGAUACCGUGGGCCAUCCAGCUGCCAUUGGCUGUCCCUCCACAUGUCUUUGCAAGUCCUUUUAUCCACCUGCUGCUCUGGUGGUUUCUGUCCCCAAGUGGGAUUGUUCUGCACAGCCUCUGCUACCCUCCAGAGACUCCACCUGCCUCUCCAUCAAGGGGAGAGGAUUGCAGCUGUGUCUGGUCCUUCCCUGGCCAUCAUCUACCCAAACACCCCUGCUUCCUGGGCUCCUGUGGCACAGACCUCCUCUGGGCCAAGAUGGUGAAGGGUGAACACAAGGAUGCCGCCACGCCAAGUCCUUUUUGGACAUGUAUCCAAUAAAAUCAUGCAACGUGUGAGAACAAAGUGAAGGCUCUUGGGCCCUGGGCCUUGCCUAGAGAAGAAGGGCAAGAAACAGAGGCCCAGGUCCUUCAGGAGGAGUAUUCACAGCGUGGAUGUGCUACCGGACAGCUCCUCAUUCAGGCUCUGGUGUGAAGCAUAAAGUAUGAGGCCCCACUUGGUGUGUGUGUGUGUGUGCAUACACAGGGCCUUGUGCAUGCUGGUAUGCACCACUGAGUUACAUCCCCAGCCCCACUUUUGAAUUAUGAUGAUGAUGGUGUUGAUGAUGAUGAUGAUGGUGAUGAUGAUGGUGAUAAUAAAU
rnacentral:lncRNA from 1 species